UACCAACUCCCCGAGUGGUCAGGAUGUUUACUGGGCUUAAAGCGUCCGUAGCCUGUUUGGUAAGUUUUCCGUUAAAUCCGACGUCCUAAGCGUUGGGCCGCGGAAAAUACUGUCAGACUUGGGAGUGGAAGAGGUCGGCGGUACUUACUGGGGAGGGGUAAAAUCCUUAGAUCCAGAGAGGACCAUCAGUGGCGAAGGCGGCCGACCAGGACACGUCCGACGGUGAGGGACGAAAGCUAGGGGAGCGAUCCGGAUUAGAUACCCCAGUA
rnacentral:rRNA from 1 species